rnacentral:rRNA from 1 species
UAGAUUUGAUCAUGGCUCAGGACGAACGCUGGCGGUGUGCUUAACACAUGCAAGUGGUGCGACGAACCAGAGCUUGCUCUGGGGCAAAGCCGCGAACGGGUGAGUAACACGUGGGUAAUCUACCCCGAUGACCGGGACAACCCGAGGAAACUCGGGCUAAUACCGGAUGUGGUGUACAGGCUUAAGCCUGUCCACUAAAGGUAGCUUCGGCUUCCGCAUUGGGAGGGGCCCGCGGCCCAUUAGCUUGUUGGUGGGGUCAAGGCCUACCAAGGCAACGAUGGGUAGCUGGUCUGAGAGGACGAUCAGCCACACUGGGACUGAGACACGGCCCAGACUCCUACGGGAGGCAGCAGUGGGGAAUCUUGCGCAAUGCGCGAAAGCGUGACGCAGCAACACCGCGUGAGGGAAGACGGCCUUAGGGUUGUAAACCUCUUUCAGAUGGGACGAAGUGAUGCGGUGAAUAGCCGAUGUCAUUGACGGUACCGUCAGAAGAAGCUCCGGC